rnacentral:rRNA from 1 species
GGGGAAUAUUGGACAAUGGGCGCAAGCCUGAUCCAGCCAUGCCGCGUGAGUGAUGAAGGCCUUAGGGUUGUAAAGCUCUUUUGUCCGGGAAGAUAAUGACUGUACCGGAAGAAUAAGCCCCGGCUAACUUCGUGCCAGCAGCCGCGGUAAUACGAAGGGGGCUAGCGUUGUUCGGAAUCACUGGGCGUAAAGCGCACGUAGGCGGACUUUUAAGUCAGAGGUGAAAGCCUGGAGCUCAACUCCAGAACUGCCUUUGAUACUGGGAGUCUCGAGUUCGGAAGAGGUUGGUGGAACUGCGAGUGUAGAGGUGAAAUUCGUAGAUAUUCGCAAGAACACCAGUGGCGAAGGCGGCCAACUGGUCCGAUACUGACGCUGAGGUGCGAAAGCGUGGGGAGCAAAC